rfam:Spinacia oleracea cultivar SynViroflay scaffold96582.con0001.1, whole genome shotgun sequence.
GGGUCUGUAUCUCAGAGGAUUAGAGCAUGUGACUACGAACCACGUUGUCGGAGGUUUGAAUCCCUCCUUGCCCA